GGGCCCGUAGCUCAGGGGAUAGAGCAUCGCCCUUCUAAGGCGAGGGUCGCAGGUUCAAAUCCUGCCGGGCCCA
rnacentral:tRNA from 1 species